AAAUUGAAGAGUUUGAUCAUGGCUCAGAUUGAACGCUGGCGGCAGGCCUAACACAUGCAAGUCGAACGGUAACAGGAAGCAGCUUGCUGCUUUGCUGACGAGUGGCGGACGGGUGAGUAAUGUCUGGGAAACUGCCUGAUGGAGGGGGAUAACUACUGGAAACGGUAGCUAAUACCGCAUAACGUCGCAAGACCAAAGAGGGGGACCUUCGGGCCUCUUGCCAUCGGAUGUGCCCAGAUGGGAUUAGCUAGUAGGUGGGGUAACGGCUCACCUAGGCGACGAUCCCUAGCUGGUCUGAGAGGAUGACCAGCCACACUGGAACUGAGACACGGUCCAGACUCCUACGGGAGGCAGCAGUGGGGAAUAUUGCACAAUGGGCGCAAGCCUGAUGCAGCCAUGCCGCGUGUAUGAAGAAGGCCUUCGGGUUGUAAAGUACUUUCAGCGGGGAGGAAGGCGGUGAGGUUAAUAACCUCAUCGAUUGACGUUACCCGCAGAAGAAGCACCGGCUAACUCCGUGCCAGCAGCCGCGGUAAUACGGAGGGUGCAAGCGUUAAUCGGAAUUACUGGGCGUAAAGCGCACGCAGGCGGUCUGUCAAGUCGGAUGUGAAAUCCCCGGGCUCAACCUGGGAACUGCAUUCGAAACUGGCAGGCUAGAGUCUUGUAGAGGGGGGUAGAAUUCCAGGUGUAGCGGUGAAAUGCGUAGAGAUCUGGAGGAAUACCGGUGGCGAAGGCGGCCCCCUGGACAAAGACUGACGCUCAGGUGCGAAAGCGUGGGGAGCAAACAGGAUUAGAUACCCUGGUAGUCCACGCCGUAAACGAUGUCGACUUGGAGGUUGUGCCCUUGAGGCGUGGCUUCCGGAGCUAACGCGUUAAGUCGACCGCCUGGGGAGUACGGCCGCAAGGUUAAAACUCAAAUGAAUUGACGGGGGCCCGCACAAGCGGUGGAGCAUGUGGUUUAAUUCGAUGCAACGCGAAGAACCUUACCUACUCUUGACAUCCAGAGAACUUUCCAGAGAUGGAUUGGUGCCUUCGGGAACUCUGAGACAGGUGCUGCAUGGCUGUCGUCAGCUCGUGUUGUGAAAUGUUGGGUUAAGUCCCGCAACGAGCGCAACCCUUAUCCUUUGUUGCCAGCGGUCCGGCCGGGAACUCAAAGGAGACUGCCAGUGAUAAACUGGAGGAAGGUGGGGAUGACGUCAAGUCAUCAUGGCCCUUACGAGUAGGGCUACACACGUGCUACAAUGGCGCAUACAAAGAGAAGCGACCUCGCGAGAGCAAGCGGACCUCAUAAAGUGCGUCGUAGUCCGGAUUGGAGUCUGCAACUCGACUCCAUGAAGUCGGAAUCGCUAGUAAUCGUGGAUCAGAAUGCCACGGUGAAUACGUUCCCGGGCCUUGUACACACCGCCCGUCACACCAUGGGAGUGGGUUGCAAAAGAAGUAGGUAGCUUAACCUUCGGGAGGGCGCUUACCACUUUGUGAUUCAUGACUGGGGUGAAGUCGUAACAAGGUAACCGUAGGGGAACCUGCGGUUGGAUCACCUCCUUACCUUAAAGAA
rnacentral:rRNA from 1 species